UGCGUAGGCGGCCAUGUAAGUGGGGUGUGAAAUCCCUCGGCUCAACCGAGGAACUGCGCUCCAUACUGCAUGGCUUGAGGGAGACAGGGGUAAGCGGAACUGAUGGUGGAGCGGUGAAAUGCGUUGAUAUCAUCAGGAACACCGGUGGCGAAAGCGGCUUACUGGGUCUCUUCUGACGCUGAGGUACGAAAGCUAGGGGAGCGAACG
rnacentral:rRNA from 1 species